GGGGAAUAUUGCGCAAUGGGGGAAACCCUGACGCAGCAACGCCGCGUGAAGGAUGAAGGUCUUCGGAUCGUAAACUUUUGUCUUCUGGGAAGAAUAAAUGACGGUACCAGAGGAGGAAGCCACGGCUAACUACGUGCCAGCAGCCGCGGUAAUACGUAGGUGGCAAGCGUUGUCCGGAUUUACUGGGUGUAAAGGGCGUGUAGGCGGGAGAGCAAGUCAGAUGUGAAAUACCGAAGCUCAACUUCGGGGCUGCAUUUGAAACUGUUCUUCUUGAGUGCAGGAGAGGUAAGUGGAAUUCCUAGUGUAGCGGUGAAAUGCGUAGAUAUUAGGAGGAACACCAGUGGCGAAGGCGACUUACUGGACUGUAACUGACGCUGAGGCGCGAAAGCGUGGGUAGCAAAC
rnacentral:rRNA from 1 species